rnacentral:rRNA from 1 species
GCUACGGGAGGCAGCAGUGAGGAAUAUUGGUCAAUGGGCGCGAGCCUGAACCAGCCAAGCAGCGUGAAGGAUGACUGCCCUACGGGUUGUAAACUUCUUUUAUAAAGGAAUAAAGUGAGGCUCGUGUGCCUUUUUGUAUGUACUUUAUGAAUAAGGAUCGGCUAACUCCGUGCCAGCAGCCGCGGUAAUACGGAGGAUCCGAGCGUUAUCCGGAUUUAUUUGGUUUAAAGGGAGCGUAGAUGGGUUGUUAAGUCAGUUGUGAAAGUUUGCGGCUCAACCGUACACUUGCAAUUGAUACUGGCAGUCUUGAGUACAGUUGAGGUAUGCGGAAUGCGCAGUGUAGCGGUGAAAUGCUUAGAUAUUACGAAGAACUCCGAUUGCGAAGGCAGCUUACUAAACUGCCACUGACAUUGAUGCUCGAAAGUGUGGGUAUCAAACAGGAUUAGAUACCCGGGUAGUC